rnacentral:rRNA from 1 species
UACGUAGGGUGCGAGCGUUAAUCGGAAUACUGGGCGUAAAGCGUGCGCAGGCGGCGCGUUAAGACAGGUGUGAAAUCCCCGGGCUUAACCUGGGAACUGCAUUUGUGACUGCACGGCUAGAGUGCGGCAGAGGGGGAUGGAAUUCCGCGUGUAGCAGUGAAAUGCGUAGAUAUGCGGAGGAACACCGAUGGCGAAGGCAAUCCCCUGGGCCUGCACUGACGCUCAUGCACGAAAGCGUGGGGAGCAAACAGG